rnacentral:rRNA from 1 species
AUUGAACGCUGGCGGCAGGCCUAACACAUGCAAGUCGAGCGGAUGAAGGGAGCUUGCUCCUGGAUUCAGCGGCGGACGGGUGAGUAAUGCCUAGGAAUCUGCCUGGUAUUGGGGGAUAACGUCCGUAAACGGGCGCUAAUACCGCAUACGUCCUGAUGUAGAAAGUGGGGGAUCUUCGGACCUCACGCUAUCAGAUGAGCCUAGGUCGGAUUAGCUAGUUGGUAGGGUAAAGGCCUACCAAGGCGACGAUCCGUAACUGGUCUGAGAGGAUGAUCAGUCACACUGGAACUGAGACACGGUCCAGACUCCUACGGGAGGCAGCAGUGGGGAAUAUUGGACAAUGGGCGAAAGCCUGAUCCAGCCAUGCCGCGUGUGUGAAGAAGGUCUUCGGAUUGUAAAGCACUUUAAGUUGGGAGGAAGGGAAGUAAGUUAAUACCUUGAUGUUUUGACGUUACCAAAAGAAUAAGCACCGGCUAACUUCGUG